GUCGUUUUGUUUUGGUGUUGCAUUUUUUCUUUGUUUUUUUCGUUGGGUUUUGUCGUGGUGUUUUUUUUUGUCAUCGUUACAUUUUGCUGUUGUGGGUUUUGUUUGUUUGUUCGUUUUGUCGGGUUUUGACGGGGUUUGUUUUGGUGGGUUUUUUUGGUCGUGGUUGUGUUUUGUUUUGGUGUUGUGGGUUGGUUUCUGUGGGGGGGUUGGGAGAGGCGCAGACCCUUCCCCGUUAGCUGAGGGAUGAUCCCCUGCUCGCCCCGAGCCCUGGGCUCCCUCCAGCCCAACACCCCGUGUUCCCCUGGGCUGCAGCCGCUGCCCCGGCUGGGACCCUCCACCCUCUGGCAGAACAAGAGGGGAGGGCUCCAAGCUGCACCAGGGCAGGGCCAGACUGGGCAUCAGGAAGGGUUUUUUCCCAGCAGGAGUGGUCAGACCCUGGACCAGGCUGCCCGGGGAGGUGGUGGAGUCACCAUCCCUGGAGGUGUUGAAGGUUGUUUGGAUGUGGUGUUGGUGGAGAUGGGUUAGGGGAGAAGUUUGUGGAGCAGGGAUGGUGGUUGGAGUGGGUGAUCCCAAGGGGCUUUUCCAACCUGAGUGGUUCUUGGAUCUUCCAGCAUCAUCACUCAGCUUGGCCUGGUCUGGUGGAAUGGGCCAGGGGCACCUUCCCACCAUGCCCCCGGCCUGGGUUUUGAUUUCUCCGGCGGGUCACUGGUGCUACUGUGGAUUUACCACAGCCCAGGUCAUUAAAUGGACAAGCUUUCAAGAUCUGAUAGUUCUUUAAGUCCUGAAUGUCUUCUUCCAGAUGAGUCUUUACACAAAUAAGGUGCCCAGGAUGUACAGGUGAUUCUUCAAAGACAUGACAGGACAGGUGAUGGUCACACAACCAAAGCACCCUGGUUGAGAGCAGCCCUGAGGAGAAGGAGCUGGGGGUGCUGGUGAGGAGCAGCUCCCAAGCUGUGGCUGCCCCAUCCCUGGAGGUGCUGAAGGGCAGCUGAAAAACCCUUUGUGAGGAGGAAUGGUGCAGUCCUGCAGCUGAAAGGAAGGAUUCAUCAUUUACCAAGAGCAGUUCUCUGAGGCUGCCCCAGUGAAUAAAUGAGCUGUGGCUGCAGUGGGGCAGCAGGUGUUCUUGGAGCUUUGCGGCAGGAACGAUGUGGUGAACAAGACGAGGCCAAGCUCCAGUGAGAGGGGUUCCAGGUGCAGCAGUUCACACCCAGCUGUGUGAGAUGCUUGCACACUCCUGCUCAGAGGUUGUGUGCAGGAGCUGGCUCAGCUGACCAGCCUGCUCUGCCCCUGGUCUGGUUGUGCACGGGUGAAGUAAAAGACACGGGUGUUCUGUGCCAGGAGAUGCCAGGUUGAGGCUGGCUGGCUGGAACAGCUGUGGAUGGGCUGUGUCACUGCAAAGCAGCCCCAGGAGCAGCUCCUGAGCGUGAGCCAAGCGGGAGGAGGUCCCGUCCCUCCGCAGCAGGAGCCCAAGGUGUGCACGUCCUCAGGGCUGCUGCCCACCUGGGCAGCUGCUCCCUGCUUCCCCCCGGGAGCAGGCAGUGGGACGGAGGCACGAGUGGGAAGUCUGUGAACCCGCCGAGUGCUCCUGCCCUCUCCUCUCGGACAGAGGAGGUGCCUGGGUGGAGGUGAAGCCCUGGAGGCCGUGGGGAGCUGGCUGGACCUCCAGAGAGGAAGGAUGGGUCAGAGCCAUCCUGUCCCCUCCUCCCUGACCAGCCCAGUGCACUUUCAUGGCUGAGCCUGGGAGUGUUUCUGCCUGCCAGACGGUGAGUUUUGGGUCCCUGCCUCAGCUUUUAAGCACCCAGCCUCUUCCUGAGCUCUGUGCUGCAUCUGGCCAUGGGAGCACGGAGCAGUGGCCUGGGACUGUGGCACAGGCUGUGCCUCAGGCAGGGGCUGUGCAGGAGAGCAAGGCGAGGGCCCUGCUCGUGGCUUUUGCCCGCCUGCUGCUUCACCUGGGCUCGCUCCCACAGGUCUGACAGAUCGUGCUGCAUUCCUCAGCUGCAAGCAGCAGGCCCUCCCUGCUGACACACAGCUCCAGGAGCCUGCAGCUUCACCCUCCUCGUGGCUGCGUGCCUGACCCAGCAGCUGGAGCCGACAGGAGUUGGAAGUGGGGAGCUGCACAGUGAGGGGGCACUAAUGCAUGACACCCUUGGUGAUGCUGGUCUGUGUCACACCAGGCUUUGAGGCUCCUGCUGCUCCAGGAGCAGAUCAGUUCUGAGCUGUCCUAGGAAGAAGUCAGGUGUGCAGAUGAGAUGUGAGCUGCAGGAAGGAGGGGAGCCAUCCACUCUGCCACGGGCUGCUGCAGAAACCCACUGGAAAUCUUGCUUUGGGGCAAAGGGGUUGGCACUGUUGUUUCUAUUAGAAGGCUCCUCUUGUUUACCACUGCUUUAAGAAAUCAUUGUUUAUGGGCACUUCCUGCAUAAAUUUUCCUUAACUAGUCGAGAUUACUUUUAUAUGUAAAGGAUGUAGACAGCACAGGAUUGAGAAAGAGGAUACUUGUUUGUUAACAGGAGUGGUCUCAGCUGACAGAUGCCUGAGUCAGCUCUUGAGCUCCUGCAGGCCUAAACACCACCCCAACAGCUUGCUCAUUUGGGUAAAGAUUUGGGCAUUUGAGUGGAGGAGUUGCUAGUAAUUAUCCAAGUCAGUCUGACACUAUCUUUAAUCAGGGGAAGAAAAAAAAUAAAAGCUUUUCUUGCAGCUUCCAGCA